GGGAAGAUGGCCGAGUGGUUAAGGCGCUACGUUUAGGAGAUUCCUGAUAUAUUCUAUCAGAAACAGAGGAUCCGUAGUGGGAAACCGCGUGAGUUCGAACCUCACUCUUCUCA